CGGCUGAAGGCCAAGGGUGCAGAGAAGUAUUACAUGACAUUGAAACCAACAUAAUUGCACAUCAAUGCCUAUGUCACAAUGUUUAAUAUUUUAGACACACAAAUGCUGUACGAUGCUACUUAUACAUACUUGAAGGUAUAAAGUACAUUAAAAAUAUUAAAUAAAAAAUUAAUGAACCAAAGCUAUUAAAUGGAACUGAAAUGCUAAACGGAAGUUGCAUUUUGGAUUAAGAAAAUAAUAAAACUCUAUGUGUUCAUCUUUUUGGCUUGUGACGUCUAUAACUAAACCUAGCGAGUCAUGGUCACUGAUGUUUUCCAGCUGCUCAUCCCUUUGACGGCAUACAACUGAACUGGUGCUAAUGGACCCUUAGAGUUCCUCUUUCAUCAAAGAGGUAUGUCCAAUCUGCGCUUGUUUCCAAGCCAAAAUGUCCCUAGAAUUAGAGGGCUAAGAGAAUGAGCCACAUUUGACCAUGCAGAAGAAACAGGUAUUUUGUAAGUAGUCUCCAUAUCCUGAUCUAUCUGUAGUAGAAAACAAAUAUCAUUUCCGGAACACUUUCCUUCUUCUCAGGACAAUCUCACAGUACUAUUUUCUCAACGUUGCCCUCUACACACAUAACUGCCCUUGAUAUUGUUACAAUCUCUCCUGCCCAUGAGAGGACAUAGAAAUAUGUAGCAGAGGCUGUGAACAUAUGCUGUUCUGUGACACAGGGCAAUGCUUAACAUACAGCAAAUCUCACCAUGAACAACUCAACUGGCCAAUUAAGAGCUGCCACUUUAUUUUUUCUUUUUUUAUUUAUUAUUUUAUUUAUUUACAUUUCAAAUGCUAUCCCCCUUCCCAGUUUCUCCUCCACAAACACCCUAUCCCUUUGUCCCCCCUGCUUCUAUGAGGGUGCUAGCCCACCCAACCCUCCAUUCCCACCUCAGUGCCAAGCAUUCCCCUAUGCUGAAGAAAUGAGCCUCCACAGGACCCCGGGCCUUCCUCCCAUUGAUGCCAGACAAGGUCAUCCUCUGCUACAAAAGCAGCUGGAGCCAUGGCUCCCUCCCACAUGUACUCUUUGGAUGGUGGUUUAGUGCUGAGAGCUUUGGGAAGGUCUGGUUGAUGAUAUUGUUGCUGAAGGGGGUUGCAACCCCAUAGGAAGAACAAUAAAAUCAACCAACCAGAACCCCCACCCCCAGAGCUGUCACUUUAAAAGGUAAAACAGAUCCUGUUAUCCUCUAAAAAAACAAAAACCCUAAGGUUAUAAAGAUGAAGGAAGACUGGGGUCAGAAGGAUCUUUCUCACAGCAUUAGGUUCGCCUGCGGCAUGCUCCCCAUUGCUUUUUUUUUUUUUUAACGAUAGCCACAUUGAACUGGUUCUUCUCACUGAACAACAUUCUCAAUAAUGUGCAGCUUCGCAUUUCAUUCACGUUUCUUUCAUUCUGUCUUUGCUCAUCAAAUAUGGAUUAAAGUGUCUAUCAUUAGCCAUGAGAAUGAUAUUAUAAUAUUCUCCAUAGGAUAGAGACUGCAUAUUGAAGAUUAUGAACAUCACUGUUUUGGAAUGUACAUUAGAACGGGGAGAGAAACAUCAACAAAAUAUGGAGAAUAACAUAGCGAAUCGUUUUUCCAUGGCAAAAUGAAAAAAAAAAUCAAAAGCAGUCAUCUAUGAAUGGUUCUCACAGGCUACCAUGCAGAAAAUGGAUAUUUGAAUCAAGGCAAAUUUAAUGAAGACAAAAGAAUUCAAAUGACCAGUGAAGAGCUACGGAAAUAAACCAAGUGAAAGACUGGCAAUGUGGACCAGAGGAGGAGGACUGGGGCAGGGAAAUUUACUGGUUUGACUAACUUCAAAAGGGGCAGAAAGAAAAUUUGCCUCUAUGCCUCAUUGCAACAUGACAGACUUUGAUAAGUGAGAUGCCUAAUACAGGGACACUACCCCGUAGAGCACUAAGCAAGAGCUGAAGAAAGAAUUUGACCAUUGUCAUAAAAGCAGGUAUUUACAAUCUGCUGCUCUCACUU